CAACCCUCAAGCUCAGCUUUGGUGUUGGCGCGGGUCCGAGGGGACCCCCGCCGAAACUCGUAGGCGCCGUCGCCCGGCCCCCAGCGCAGCAGGCACACGCACGCGCGAGGGGGGUGGCGCGACGGCCGCCCGCCGUCUCACAGCG
rnacentral:misc_RNA from 1 species